rnacentral:rRNA from 1 species
GUUGUAUGGUUAAGUGACUAAGCGUACACGGUGGAUGCCUUGGCAGUCAGAGGCGAUGAAAGACGUAGUAACUUGCGAUAAGCCCAGAUUAGGUAGUAACAACCAUUUGAGUCUGGGAUUUCUGAAUGGGGAAACCCACUUACAUAAGUAAGUAUCAUUAACUGAAUACAUAGGUUAAUGAGGCGAACCGGGGGAACUGAAACAUCUAAGUACCCCGAGGAAAAGAAAUCAACCGAGAUUCCGAAAGUAGCGGCGAGCGAAAUUGGACUAGCCCUUAAGCUUUACACGCGUUAGACGAACGGUCUGGAAAGUCCGACGAUACAGGGUGAUAGUCCCGUAGUUGACGACGUGUGUUCAGUGAAAUCGAGUAGGGCGGGACACGUGAUAUCCUGUCUGAAUAUGGGGGGACCAUCCUCCAAGGCUAAAUACUACUGACUGACCGAUAGUGAACCAGUACCGUGAGGGAAAGGCGAAAAGAACCCCUGUGAGGGGAGUGAAAUAGAACCUGAAACCGUGUACGUACAAGCAGUAGGAGCAGGCUUUGUCCUGUGACUGCGUACCUUUUGUAUAAUGGGUCAGCGACUUAUAUUCAGUGGCAAGGUUAACCAUCUAGGGGAGCCGUAGGGAAACCGAGUCUUAACUGGGCGUUCAGUCUCUGGAUAUAGACCCGAAACCAGGUGAUCUAGCCAUGGGCAGGUUGAAGGUUGAGUAACAUCAACUGGAGGACCGAACCGACUAAUGUUGAAAAAUUAGCGGAUGACUUGUGGCUAGGGGUGAAAGGCCAAUCAAACCUGGAGAUAGCUGGUUCUCCCCGAAAGCUAUUUAGGUAGCGCCUCGGACGAAUACUACUGGGGGUAGAGCACUGUUAAGGCUAGGGGGUCAUCCCGACUUACCAACCCUUUGCAAACUCCGAAUACCAGUAAGUACUAUCCGGGAGACACACGGCGGGUGCUAACGUCCGUCGUGGAGAGGGAAACAACCCAGACCGCCAGCUAAGGUCCCAAAUUACUACUAAGUGGGAAACGAUGUGGGAAGGCUCAGACAGCCAGGAUGUUGGCUUAGAAGCAGCCAUCAUUUAAAGAAAGCGUAAUAGCUCACUGGUCGAGUCGGCCUGCGCGGAAGAUGUAACGGGGCUAAGUAGUAAACCGAAGCUGCGGCAAUGUGCUUUUGCACAUUGGGUAGGGGAGCGUUCUGUAAGCGGUUGAAGGUGUGUGGUAACGCAUGCUGGACGUAUCAGAAGUGCGAAUGCUGACAUGAGUAACGAUAAAGGGGGUGAAAAACCUCCUCGCCGGAAGACCAAGGGUUCCUGUCCAACGUUAAUCGGGGCAGGGUAAGUCGACCCCUAAGGCGAGGCCGAAAGGCGUAGUCGAUGGGAAACGGGUUAAUAUUCCCGUACUUCUUACAAUUGCGAUGGGGGGACGGAGAAGGCUAGGUGGGCCUGGCGACGGUUGUCCAGGUUCAAGUGCGUAGGCUUAAGAGUUAGGUAAAUCCGGCUCUUUUUAAGGCUGAGACACGACGUCGAGCACCUACGGGUGUGAAGUCAUUGAUGCCAUGCUUCCAGGAAAAGCCUCUAAGCUUCAGAUUGUAAGGAAUCGUACCCCAAACCGACACAGGUGGUCGGGUAGAGAAUACCAAGGCGCUUGAGAGAACUCGGGUGAAGGAACUAGGCAAAAUGGUACCGUAACUUCGGGAGAAGGUACGCUCUCGACGGUGAAGUCCCUCGCGGAUGGAGCUAUUGAGAGUCGCAGAUACCAGGUGGCUGCAACUGUUUAUUAAAAACACAGCACUGUGCAAAAUCGUAAGAUGACGUAUACGGUGUGACGCCUGCCCGGUGCCGGAAGGUUAAUUGAUGGGGUUAGACUUCGGUCGAAGCUCUUGAUCGAAGCCCCGGUAAACGGCGGCCGUAACUAUAACGGUCCUAAGGUAGCGAAAUUCCUUGUCGGGUAAGUUCCGACCUGCACGAAUGGCGUAAUGAUGGCCACGCUGUCUCCACCCGAGACUCAGUGAAAUUGAAAUCGCUGUGAAGAUGCAGUGUACCCGCGGCUAGACGGAAAGACCCCGUGAACCUUUACUACAGCUUGGCACUGAACAUUGACCCUACAUGUGUAGGAUAGGUGGGAGGCUUUGAAGCACGUACGCCAGUAUGUGUGGAGCCGUCCUUGAAAUACCACCCUUGUAGUGUUGAUGUUCUAACGUCGACCCCUUAUCGGGGUUGCGGACAGUGCCUGGUGGGUAGUUUGACUGGGGCGGUCUCCUCCCAAAGAGUAACGGAGGAGCACGAAGGUGGGCUAAUCACGGUUGGACAUCGUGAGGUUAGUGCAAUGGCAUAAGCCCGCUUGACUGCGAGAAUGACAAUUCGAGCAGGUGCGAAAGCAGGUCAUAGUGAUCCGGUGGUUCUGAAUGGAAGGGCCAUCGCUCAACGGAUAAAAGGUACUCCGGGGAUAACAGGCUGAUACCGCCCAAGAGUUCAUAUCGACGGCGGUGUUUGGCACCUCGAUGUCGGCUCAUCACAUCCUGGGGCUGAAGUCGGUCCCAAGGGUAUGGCUGUUCGCCAUUUAAAGUGGUACGCGAGCUGGGUUUAGAACGUCGUGAGACAGUUCGGUCCCUAUCUGCCGUGGGCGUUGGAAGAUUGAAGGGGGCUGCUCCUAGUACGAGAGGACCGGAGUGGACGAACCUCUGGUGUUCGGGUUGUGUCGCCAGACGCAUUGCCCGGUAGCUAAGUUCGGAAUCGAUAACCGCUGAAAGCAUCUAAGCGGGAAGCGAGCCCUGAGAUGAGUCUUCCCUGAUACUUUAAGUAUCCUAAAGGGUUGUCGGAGACUACGACGUUGAUAGGUCAGGUGUGUAAGUGCUGUGAGGCAUUGAGCUAACUGAUACUAAUUGCCCGUGAGGCUUAACCAUACAACACCCAAGGGGUUU